UACGUAGGGUGCAAGCGUUGUCCGGAAUUAUUGGGCGUAAAGAGCUCGUAGGCGGUCUGUCGCGUCUGCUGUGAAAACUCGGGGCUCAACUCCGAGCUUGCAGUGGGUACGGGCAGACUAGAGUGCGGUAGGGGAGACUGGAAUUCCUGGUGUAGCGGUGGAAUGCGCAGAUAUCAGGAGGAACACCGGUGGCGAAGGCGGGUCUCUGGGCCGAUACUGACGCUGAGGAGCGAAAGCGUGGGGAGCGAACAGG
rnacentral:rRNA from 1 species